rnacentral:rRNA from 1 species
GAUGAACGCUGGCGGCGUGCCUAAUACAUGCAAGUCGAGCGAACAGACGAGGAGCUUGCUCCUCUGACGUUAGCGGCGGACGGGUGAGUAACACGUGGAUAACCUACCUAUAAGACUGGGAUAACUUCGGGAAACCGGAUCUAAUACCGGAUAAUAUAUUGAACCGCAUGGUUCAAUAGUUAAAUACGGUUUUGCUGACACUUAUAGAUUGAUCCGCGCCGCAUUAGCUAGUUGGUAAAGUAAUGGCUUACCAAGGCAACGAUGCGUAGCCGACCUGAGAGGGUGAUCGCCCACCCUGGAACUGAGACACGGUCCCGACUCCUACGGGAGGCAGCAGUAGGGAAUCUUCCGCAAUGGGCGAAAGCCUGACGGAGCACCGCCGCGUGAGUGAUGAAGGUCUUCGGAUCGUAAAACUCUGUUAUUAGUGAAGAACAAAUGUGUAAGUAACUAUGCACGUCUUGACGGUACCUAAUCAGAAAGCCCCGGCUAGCUACGUG